rnacentral:tRNA from 1 species
UGGCUGAGUUGGUAAAGCGUGGCGCUUGCAAAGCUAGGGUUGUGGGUUUGAUCCCAU